rnacentral:tRNA from 1 species
AAGGUCUUAGCUUAAUUAAAGUGUCUGAGUUGCAAUCAGGUGAUGUAGUUGUUAUUACAGGCCUUC